CAAGGUUUUCAUCCUCCUAUUUGUGAGAAUGCAAAUUAUUAAAAUUGCUUCUAUUCAAAAUUCAGUGCACGAUCUCGCCGUUCUUCGAAAUCCAUCUGUUCACUGCUGGUACCGAAAGUAUGCCCCCGCACCUGGAAGCUGCAACACUCGACCACAGUUGGCAGUUGACCAUCGAUUCAUCUUCACGAGAAAAUAUCACUUUGUAUCGACAUCCAGAUAAAACUUGAGCUAUUCCUAAAACUCAUUCAAGAAAGUUUAAGUUCAUUGUGUAACCAAGGAAAUAAAGUGGGCAGGGACAAAAGGAAAGCAUCGUCUGUGCAUUAUCAUCUUGAAUUUGGAGCUGAUAUCCAAGAUGAGCUUGAUGGGACACUCAACGGUGUUUAUACGCGUGAUAACAUCAGGAACGAGCCCGAAUAGAGACAUCUUGCAAUUGGCAGCGAAAAUUGGCGAAGAAACAUUGUCUUUGUGGAUCAAACCUACAAAAUCAUCUGCGCCGUUGGCGGUACCGGAAAUCGAUGGAUUAGAAAUCUGGGAAUACGACUUGUACCUUUAUGGUCGAAAACUACCGAGUUUGUCGCUGAGAAUUGCUUUGCAAUUUUUCUACAGAUUUCUAAGGUUACCAUUCAGCCGAACAUGUGUGCUCGUUACCCAUACUGAGAAAAAUGACUUGGAACUCUUGAUUCAAGCCAUUAAGAAAAAAAACAUGAAGCCUGAAUUCAAACAUAUUAUUAAAAGGGUAUGUAAUGUUAUGCCAAUUUUCAAAGAAGAUCUUUGGAACUCAUUUACCCUAGUGGACGUCACAAUGCCCACUCUAGUACGGAAUUUGCUAAACAAAAAAUAUUUUGAAAAAGAAUCUGAACCAACGGCUUAUUUGGAAUUUCUCAAAGAGCUUUUUCACAAGUUCAUAAUAUCGAACUAUCAGCUGGAUACAUACUUAAUUUAUCCCUGGUAGGAUUUCCCCGGCUACCUCAUCUCAAUCAAUCAGAUUCCUUUGAACCAGGCUUUAUUCAUUGACUUCAGACCUACGAAUACACGAUAAAAAAAUUAUUAUUCUUCAACCGGACAACAGGAAGAACUCGUUUACGUUAUGGAGAACAGGAUUCGGUUGAUCAGCUUACCGGCAUCCAGGAUUUACUUGACUAAGAAACGACCCAGAAAUUUGAUCCAUUUUUUCCAAGAUACUUAAUCAAUUGUCAAAAAAUCUGAAACAAAAAGCAUAUCCACUCGGAGCGAAAUGUUAUUUUGGAGUUUUUAACGAACGAAACUCAGGACGAAGGAGUAUUUCAAAGAUGCGGUGGGGCGAGAAGAAUCGAAACAGGCUACGUCGUUGUGCAAUAUUCAAUAGAAAAUUUAUGAGUAGAUUCGUCACGUACAACAGACUCGACAAUUCACUCCUGUUCCUGAAACAUCAUCGAUGAUUAACAACUUGAAUUAAUUAGCAUUAAUUAUUGCCAAUGUAAUGUUCUGUGAUGUAAAACACUAUUUCGAUGACGAUUCUAUUAUUUUAAAGCAACUAAACCCGAGUGUAAAAUAGACUCUGAGUAGCUCUGCUUAAUCAGGAGCGCAAUACUUUCCAAAUGGAGUUCAACUACGUUAGUUGGUUGCAAAAUUCAACAAUUUUUUUUAUAAAAAUCGUAUCAAGAGAUGCGGUAGAGGCUCGACACCAAAGAUUUUUAUGCAUAAAAAAAUUAGAAACAAUAAAAACUUUUUUUUAAUACUUUAAA